UACGGAGGGUGCAAGCGUUAAUCGGAUUCAUUGGGCGUAAAGAGCAUGUAGGCGGAGUGGAAAGUUAGAUGUGAAAGCCCGGGGCUCAACUCCGGAUCCGCAUCUAAAACUACCAUUCUGGAGGAUGGACGGAGAAAAGGGAAUUCCACGUGUAGCGGUGAAAUGCGUAGAUAUGUGGAAGAACACCGGUGGCGAAGGCGCUUUUCUAGUUUAUUCCUGACGCUGAGAUGCGAAAGCAAGGGGAGCAAACAGG
rnacentral:rRNA from 1 species